CUGUGGAUCUUUCUCCCUGGCAAUCAGCAAAAGGGAAAGAGUAAUGUUUACAGAGGGGUCCCCAUCACCAUCGUUGACCCAGGAAUUAGAAACGCCAGGUUCUCUCCAGUUGUUCCGCAGCCAGGCACCACGACGUGUGGUGACAACUACCACAUCGGCCUUAAGGAUUAUUGCUGUUACACAUACCCCAUGGAGCAAAGCUCUGUAGAGAAUAUCUUUCCGUCCAUCUGGCGUUUCAUCUAACCUCCGUCGUAUGAAAAAGCCUCCAAGGUUAUGGAUCAAGGCUCUUUGAUACAGGGAAGAGGUGCCCAGGAGAUUAAGCAUAAAUACUCUAAUACCUGGAAAAUACAGUACAUCUGUCCAGUAGAGUCCUAGUACACUGUAUUACAGUUAUUUCUUGUCUGUACACAUGCCUCACAGAGAGCCAGAGAGCAGACCGGGGCAGCACUACAAUGGCUCCAAUCAACUAACAGACACUAAGGCACCUUAGAGCCUUCCACCGUGCUACUUCCCAUGGAAGGUGAAUUUGCAUAUAAAAUGUUGGUUUUUUUUUUUUUUUUCUCCUGAAAGAGACUUGCUUUAUUUUGGUUGUGUAUAUGUAUGUACUUGAAAUAAUACAUAUUAUAAUAUCAGAAUGGGGGGAUUGCAAUU